AAUUUGAAAUUAUUUACUCGCAAUCCAAGACAAAGUAAACACAUAAAUUAGAUUCUGAUCUCUAUUCCAUGCUUCCAUUCCAGUGUAAGUAAACAACCUAAUCUCACUCCCACUCCACACUCCCAAUCCUAGGAUUCCCACUCCUCAGGAUUCUCAAUCCAAUCUAAAAAGUAAACGAUACCUUAUAGUGCAUUGGCUUGAGCUAGACACACCUAAUAAAAAGAAAAAAAAGUAAUUGUCCUUUUUGUUGGGCAUAGCGCACACACGGGGCAUGUUGUGGGCCAUGCUCGGCCUAGAAAAAAUAGGCAUGAGAAGACUCAUUUACAUAGUGGGUCGUGUCGUGCCAGCACAAUGACCCAAGUGUGCCUCACUUUAACACGGCUCAUUGGCCAUCAUUAAUAAUUACUCUAUUCCGAUAAUAUUAAUUUAGUCUUUUAGUAAUCAUAUUUGUAUAAAAAAAUAGUUAUUCAGUUUUGAAACAAAGAAAAAUUUAUGACAUCACAAAAACAUACAUAAUUAUUAGGGAAAAGGACACAGAGACCCACAAUGUUUGAAUAAGGGACACAGAGACCCCCAACGUUUGAAAAGGGGACACAAAACCCCCUAAUGUUUCAAAAAAGACACUAAAACCCCCAUUUGUUAACAGAAAUUAUAAUUUUAAAGUGCAAUUACCAUUAUACCCUUAUAGCAUAUUAAAAAAUUAUUGUUCAUUGUCCAAUUUAUUCCUAUAUUAUUAAUAAAAUUACGAAGUACAAUUAAGAUUUUGUAAUUAUUGUUGUAACCAAUUUUUUUUAUUUUGUUGAUUAUAUAAGUUUAAAUGGAGAA
rnacentral:lncRNA from 1 species